rnacentral:hammerhead_ribozyme from 1 species
AUUCAGCUGACGAGCCCUAAAUGGGACGAAACGCGCGUCAAACUGGUU